GGUGGACCUUCUGAGAUAGGUGAGAACGUCAGAUUCUCAAUCUGGAAACCCGGGUUCGAUUCCCGGUACCGCUACCA
rnacentral:tRNA from 1 species